rnacentral:tRNA from 1 species
GGGCACAUAGCUCAGCGGUAGAGCGCUUCGUUCACAUCGAAGAGGUCUUUGGUCCAAUUCCAAAUGUGCCCA